GAUGAACGCUGGCGGCGUGCCUAAUACAUGCAAGUCGAGCGAACAGACGAGGAGCUUUCUCUUCUGACGUUAGCGGCGGACGGGUGAGUAACACGUGAAUAACCUACCUAUAAGACUGGGAUAACUUCGGGAAACCGGAGCUAAUACCGGCUAACAUAUUGAACCGCAUGGUUCAAUAGUGAAAGACGGUUUGGCUGUGACUUAUAGAUGGUUCCGUGCUGCAUUAGCUAGUUGGUAAGGUAACGGAUUACCAAGGCAACGAUGCGUAGCCGAACUGAGAGGGUGAUCAGCCACACUGGAAGUGAGACACGGUCCAGACUCCUACGGGAGGCAGCAGUAGGGAAUCUUCCGCAAUGGGCGAAAGCCUGACGGAGCAACGCCGCGUGAGUGACGAAGGUCGUCGGAUCGUAAAACUCUGUUAUUAGGGAAGAACAAAUGUGUAAGUAACUAUGCACGUAUUGACGGUACCUAAUCAGAAAGCCACGGCUAACUACGUG
rnacentral:rRNA from 1 species